GCUGUAGCUUAGUUGUAGAGCACCUGCUCUGAAUGCAGAAGGACCCCAGGUUCAUUCCUAGGCAUCUCCA